GUCUACGGUCAUGCCACCCUGAACAAGCCCGAUCCCAUCUGAUCUCGGAAGCUAAGCAGGGUCGGGCCUAGUUAGUACUUGGAUGGGAGACCACCUAGGAAGACCAGGUACUAUAGGCA
rnacentral:rRNA from 1 species